GUAGUAGGUAAACUUGAAGGUGAAAGAGACAUAACUUUGGGCUUUGUUGAUUUACUGCGUGAUGAUUUUGUUGAACAAGAUCGAAGUCGCGGUAUUUAUUUCACUCAAGAUUGGGUCUCUUUACCAGGUGUUCUACCCGUGGCUUCAGGAGGUAUUCACGUUUGGCAUAUGCCUGCUCUGACCGAGAUCUUUGGGGAUGAUUUCGUACUACAGUUCGGUGGAGGAACUUUAGGACAUCCUUGGGGUAAUGCGCCAGGUGUCGUAGCUAAUCGAGUAGCUCUAGAAGCAUGUGUACAAGCUCGUAAUGAAGGACGUGAUCUCGCCCAGGAAGGUAAUGAAAUUAUUCGCGAGGCUUGCAAAUGGAGCCCGGAACUAGCUGCUUCUUGUGAAGUAUGGAAAGAGAUCGUAUUUAAUUUUGCAUCAGUGGACGUUUUGGAUAAGUAAAAACAGUAGACAUUAGCAGAUAAAUUAGCAGGAAAUAAAGAAGGAUAAGGAGAAAUCG